CCUACGGGUGGCUGCAGUGAGGAAUAUUGGUCAAUGGGCGCGAGCCUGAACCAGCCAAGUAGCGUGAAGGAUGAAUGCCCUACGGGUUGUAAACUUCUUUUAUAAAGGAAUAAAGUGUGGAACGUGUGCCUUUUUGUAUGUACUUUAUGAAUAAGCAUCGGCUAACUCCGUGCCAGCAGCCGCGGUAAUACGGAGGAUCCGAGCGUUAUCCGGAUUUAUUGGGUUUAAAGGGAGCGUAGAUGGGUUUUUAAGUCAGUUGUGAAAGUUAGCGGCUCAACCGUAAAAUUGCAAUUGAUACUGGCAGCCUCGAGUAGAGUUGAGGUAUGCGGAAUGCGUGGUGUAGCGGUGAAAUGCAUAGAUAUCGCGCAGAACCCCGAUUGCGAAGGCAGCAUGCCGGUGCACAACUGACGCUCAGGCACGAAAGCGUGGGUAUCGAACAGGAUUAGAUACCCGGGUAGUC
rnacentral:rRNA from 1 species